rnacentral:rRNA from 1 species
CCUGAGAAACCCAAAAGAUCGAUCGGGGAGACUCAUCGUCAGCGAUCCUGGUGCGUGAGCGGUUCGCGAUGCCGCGGGACCUCGGUCUCGUGGCACUCGUCCGCGCAUGAAUUUAUUGCCAGGUGUCGUCGGCGUGCACUUCUCCCCUAGUAGAACGUCGCGACCCGUUGGGUGUCGGUCUACGGUCCGGAUGGUAGCCUGUCGUGCGUCGCGCCUCGUGCCGGCAUGCGGCAGACCCCCGGUCGCCCGACCGUCUGCCCGGCGGUAUUCGCACGGUAUCGGGCCGCAAAUAUUUGAACUGCGUCCAGCCUGCCGCAAGCGAGGUCAGUGUUUCCCGGAUGCGCGGACCUAGCGCCGUCACCGGGCCUGGCCAGCUGUUUGCCGGCGGUGUCCUGGGACAGGCUCGUCAAUUAUGAUACCGGUCGGCGACGCUACUGCUUUGGGUACUUUCAGGACCCGUCUUGAAACACGGACCAAGGAGUCUAACAUGUGCGCGAGUCAUUGGGAGAUCUUAAGCCUAAAGGCGCAAUGAAAGUGAAGGUCGGCCUCGCGCCGACCGAGGGAGGAUGGGCCGCGUCACGAUGCGGUCCCGCACUCCCGGGGCGUCUCGUUCUCAUUGCGAGAAGAGGCGCACCCAGAGCGUACACGUUGGGACCCGAAAGAUGGU